rnacentral:rRNA from 1 species
AUUGAACGCUGGCGGCAUGCCUUACACAUGCAAGUCGAACGGCAGCGGGGGAGAAGCUUGCUUUUCCUGCCGGCGAGUGGCGAACGGGUGAGUAAUACAUCGGAACGUGCCCUGUAGUGGGGGAUAACUAGUCGAAAGAUUAGCUAAUACCGCAUACGACCUGAGGGUGAAAGUGGGGGACCGCAAGGCCUCAUGCUAUAGGAGCGGCCGAUGUCUGAUUAGCUAGUUGGUGGGGUAAAGGCCUACCAAGGCGACGAUCAGUAGCUGGUCUGAGAGGACGAUCAGCCACACUGGGACUGAGACCCGGCCCAGACUCCUACGGGAGGCAGCAGUGGGGAAUUUUGGACAAUGGGCGAAAGCCUGAUCCAGCAAUGCCGCGUGUGUGAAGAAGGCCUUCGGGUUGUAAAGCACUUUUGUCCGGAAAGAAAUGGCUCUGGUUAAUACCUGGGGUCGAUGACGGUACCGGAAGAAUAAGGACCGGCUAACUACGUGCCAGCCGCCGCAGAAUAC